UACGGGGGGGGCAAGCGUUAAUCGGAAUUACUGGGCGUAAAGCGUGCGCAGGCAGUUUCGUAAGUCUGUCGUGAAAUCCCCGGGCUUAACCUGGGAAUGGCGAUGGAGACUGCGAGGCUAGAGUUUGGCAGAGGGGGGUAGAAUUCCACGUGUAGCAGUGAAAUGCGUAGAGAUGUGGAGGAACACCGAUGGCGAAGGCAGCCCCCUGGGUCAAAACUGACGCUCAUGCACGAAAGCGUGGGGAGCAAACAGG
rnacentral:rRNA from 1 species